UGAUGACAUUCUCCGGAAUCGCUGGACGGCCUUGAUGAAAGCACGUUUGAACCCUUUUCCAUCUGAUCGCUGGGCCUCUCCAUC
rnacentral:snoRNA from 8 species